rnacentral:rRNA from 1 species
UACGAAGGGUGCAAGCGUUGCUCGGAAUUAUUGGGCGUAAAGGGUUGGUAGGUGGUCUUGUUUGUCUAAGGUGAAAUCCCAUGGCUUAACUGUGGAAGUGCCCUAGAAACGGCAAGACUAGAGUCCUAGAGGGGUUUGUGGAAUUCCCGGUGUAGCGGUGAAAUGCGUAGAGAUCGGGAGGAACACCAGCGGCGAAGGCGGCAAACUGGAUAGGUACUGACACUCAACAACGAAAGCGUGGGGAUCAAACAGG